rnacentral:rRNA from 1 species
GAUGAACGCUGGCGGCGUGCCUAAUACAUGCAAGUCGAGCGAACAGAUAAGGAGCUUGCUCCUUUGACGUUAGCGGCGGACGGGUGAGUAACACGUGGGUAACCUACCUAUAAGACUGGAAUAACUCCGGGAAACCGGGGCUAAUGCCGGAUAACAUUUAGAACCGCAUGGUUCUAAAGUGAAAGAUGGUUUUGCUAUCACUAAUAGAUGGACCCGCGCCGUAUUAGCUAGUUGGUAAGGUAACGGCUUAGCAAGGCAACGAUACGUAGCCGACCUGAGAGGGUGAUCGGCCACACUGGAACUGAGACACGGUACAGACUCCUACGGGAGGCAGCAGUAGGGAAUCCUCCGCGAUGGGCGAAAGCGUGACGGAGCAACACCGGGUGAGUGAUGAAGGUCUUCGGAUCGUAAAGCGCUGUUAUUAGGGAAGAACAAAUGUGUAAUUAACUGUGCACGUAUUGACGGUACCUAAUCAGAAAGCCACGGCUAACUACGUG